rnacentral:tRNA from 1 species
GUGCCCGUAGUUCAGUUGGUAGAGCAGCAGAUUGUGGUUCUGUUUGUCGCGGGUUCGAGCCCCGUCGGGCACCCCA